AAGAAACACAAAGUAUUCAUAUAAAUCUUUUAAAGAAUCAUAAAGAAAUAACAUAGAAAUUAAAAAAUAUACUAAAAUAGAAACCUUAAUAAAAUAUUAAAAUAUAAACCUUAAUUAAAUCCUAAUCAAAUUCUAUUCAAAUCUUAAUCAAAUCUUAAUUAAAUCCUAAGCAAAUCCUAAUAAAAUCUUAGACAAACCUUGAUCAAAUCGUAGUCAAAUCCUAAAAAAAUCCUAUCCAAAACCUAACAAAAUCCUAAAAAAACUCUUACCACAUCCUAAACAAAUCCUAACCAUACUCUAAACAAUCCCUAAUCAAAGCCUAAAUAAUCCCAAGUAAUUCUUAUAACACAUUUAAAUCUCAAUAAUUAAUGAAUGAACCAUUGAUUUUAACUCAAAAUUUACAUACCUCUUAAUAAUUAAGUUAAAAAUAAAUACACAAAUUUUGAAGAAGAUUGAACUCACCAAAAAGAAGAUCGAUCCUAAUAUUUGCUUAGAUAUUGGCCAGCCUCCUUCCCCAUUUUGAAUGUUGAAUUUUUAGCAUCAAUAUCUUCUUAUUGAACUAUUUAAUUGAUUUUAAAAUUUUCACAUAAGUAGAAAAAUAAAUCUACUAUCCACACAUAUAAUUUUCACUCUAAUCCAACUAAUAGAUUGUAAGAAAUCUUAGAAAUUGUUAUUAGGCCUAAAACUCUACUUUCCAAGAUCUUGACCUACUUAAAUCUCAAUUAUCCUCAAUAUAGCCCUUAGAUCAAGCUCAAACUUAUAGCAUAUAUUGAACACAUAUAAACUCACAAACCCUCAAAUUUUCAUCUAUAGAUCUAUUGCUAAACUUAUGAAAUUCUCUAAUAAGUAUCUCUUAUUUUAUUUCACAAAUCUAGAGUCAUCCAAAACAAACCAUGACUUUGUAAAGCUCUUAGAAAUUCAAUAAGAAUCCAAAUCAUCCAAAACUAAUGUUCAUCAAAACUUUCUCAAGUUUGCUCUCUAUUCCUACUCUUUGAUUUGCCAAAAAAUCCCAGAAUCGUCGUCAAAGCUUGGUUUUGUGCCUUAGGGUCUGAUUUCGACCCUGGUUCAUAACCGGCCCUCAACAGGUAUCAAUAUCUAAUUUUUCUAGAUAAAUUUUACUAGAAACUACUCUCAACUUCUUUCCAAAGGUGCCUAUGUUGUUUAUUUUUCUAAUUUACCUUAUUUUUCUCUAUUUGUAGUCCUACAAAGUGAGUAGAAGCCUAUUUUACAAAAAGGCAAUAUUAGCACUUUUAAUUUUUCUAUCUCUUGACUAUUAUCUAUUUUUCCAAGAUAAUUUGUUAUAAUAUAUUUAAAAUAAGUUCUUCAAAAAUAUGUUAUUUUCUUCAUCUUUUCACCUAUUAGCAAUUUUACAUCAUGACAUCCACCCCCUCUACUGAAUCCAUGUAUCCUCCAACAUACAUCCAGUUUUUCAUAUCAUUUUUAUGUAGAAUGGCCUUUAUCUUGAUCAAAUUCUUCAUCUUUAACUUGUUCUUCUUCUUCCAUCUCAAUAUUCUCUAGUAGAUUUAGUUCUUUAUUAAAACAAAUGUCUUCA
rnacentral:lncRNA from 1 species